UAUGACCACAUCACACUGAAACAUUGGUUCCCAUACGAUCACCAAAGUGAAGCAAUGUCGAUCCUGGUCAGUAUCUAGAUGGGUAAACACUUGGGAAUACCAGGUGCUGUAA